UACGAGGGGGGCGAGCGUUGUUCGGAAUUAUUGGGCGUAAAGGGUGCGUAGGCGGCCUGACAAGUCUGAUGUGAAAUCCCUGGGCUCAACCCAGGGCCUGCAUCGGAAACUGUCGGGCUUGAGUAUGGGAGAGGUGAGUGGAAUUUCCGGUGUAGCGGUGAAAUGCGUAGAUAUCGGGAGGAACACCUGUGGCGAAAGCGGCUCACUGGACCACAACUGACGCUGAGGCGCGAAAGCUAGGGGAGCAAACAGG
rnacentral:rRNA from 1 species